rnacentral:lncRNA from 1 species
GGGGCCAUAAUAUUCGGAAACUUCUGGUUUCCUGUCGGCCUUCUGAAUGCCGAGCACUGCCCUGGGGUAGGCCCCUCACCUGCUGCUGAGCACACUGAGAGCCACCAAGCCACCGAGAGACUCAUCCCUGACCCACGGCUUGGGAGAUGCCUGUGAGGCUGGUGCAGUCUGCCAGGGACACCCGAGGGAGACCCUCAGAGACAGCAAAGGCUUGGCUGUUUCUUCUUGGCAGACAAGGGUCAGGGAGUCUUGGUGACUGGCGCCAGGCUCUCUAGUGGAGCGACUCUGCCGUGGAGGAACAGAGCAUCUGAUGCACACUCAGGGACACUUGCAAGCUGCAGAGUUUCCCUGUCACAUGCCCU